rnacentral:tRNA from 1 species
AAGGAUUUAAGUUAACCCCUAUCCAAACUAAUAGCCUUCAAAGCUGUAAAUAAAGAUUACUUGCUUUAAGCCUUA